GAGGUUUUCUUUUAAAACAACAAAAAUACACAUUUUUCUAUCCAAGGCGUUUGAAUACCAUUCUCAAUUUUAAUUUUUAGUUUUUUUUUCUAAACAAUCCGAAGUUUUCACUCAAAAAAAAAGUUUUUCUUCCUUUGUACAAAAUACAAAAGAAACUUUCUUUUUUCACCAGGUAUUUUACUUUUGCUUAUUUUGGGCUUUCAAAUGUCUUUUUUUGUCUUAAAAAACCGUUACGUCAUGAGGCGUCCUUUCGGAGCUCAUAGUUGGACAUCUAGUCUAUCCUUUUAGGGGAAAACUGAAUGGAACGGCGAGUUUCGUCUUUGUCUGAGCGACUCAUUAGUAGAAUUCCGUUUCCGCUUAUUGCUAGACUAAUUCCAGACAGUCGUUACGGCCCAUUGUAAAGAGAGAUUCCUAUCUUUUGGGUCAUGGGUGGGGACUCCAUCCAUUUAGCUUCUCCGAUGGUUGACCCAUUCAGCUUUAAUGUCUUGAAUGAACCUCUCCAUCCAUUUUAUUUUUUCUUAUAUAAAACCUUAAAAUGUUUUAUUUACUUAUAUAAAACGUUAAAAUGUUUUAUUUUCUUACAUAAAACGUUAAAACCUUAAAAUGUUUUUUCUAUAUAAAAUGUUAAAACGUUAAUCUUUUCUAUAUACGAAAUAUUAAACCUUUAAUUUUUCUACUUAUAUAAAA